AAUGAAUGAUGACAAAAUGUUUCGGUCCCAGAUGACACAUACUGAUUAUACCGUUGCAUUUAUUUCUGACAUU